rnacentral:rRNA from 1 species
UGGUCCUACGGGAGGCAGCAGUGAGGAAUAUUGGUCAAUGGGCGGGAGCCUGAACCAGCCAAGUCGCGUGAGGGAAGAAGGUACUGAGUAUUGUAAACCUCUUUUGCCAGGGGACAAAGGCGGCCACGGGUGGCCGUAAGAGGGUACCUGGAGAAAAAGCAUCGGCUAACUCCGUGCCAGCAGCCGCGGUAAUACGGAGGAUGCGAGCGUUAUCCGGAUUCAUUGGGUUUAAAGGGUGCGUAGGUUGUUUUAUAAGUUAGCGGUGAAAUACCGAUGCUCAACAUCGGGGCUGCCGCUGAUACUGU